ACUUAAAAAAUGACAAUAAAUUAAGAAUAUAAUUACCGGAAGAAUAAGAAUAACACAUUGUUUUUAAAACCACCACGGGAAUAUAGAGUAAACUGAAAGUAAAAAUAUAAGUAGACUAUUUUAACAAUAAUUCAGUCACAAAGAACACAAAACUGUUACAAAACACAAUUCAAAAUAUUCGAAUUACAAAUAUCCGUUACAAAGCGACAAACUACACUGCACUAAAGUUUACAGUGUAAAUUGUUCAAGAAGCGCGAAACCAGUACCUCACGACGCAUGUGCUAAAAAAUAUUCGUUAAAGUCGCAGAUUCUGAAAGGUUAUUGAUAAAAUUAUGCUUAGUUAAACCUUAGUUAAAUCUUAAACUAAAAAUGUGUAGUCAACCAAGAAAAUGUUAACUAAAUAAUGCAACGUGUGCAAUAUUCUACUGAAUAUUCAAUAAAGGAUAGACGACAGACCAGUUCAGUGUAACAAAAAACAGGAAGUGCUUGGUAAAAAUAGUUUAAUUUUGAUACCAGCAGCCUUUGGAAGACUCGUGAAAUGUGUAAUAUAUGUACAGACAAAUUUUUUGACCAAUGGCCAGCAACUGUAAAUGCAAAAACGUGUCAUUUUAUAAUUGAUGAACAUCUACUCGAUUAUCCAGAUGUCAAUACCUGAAAAACUUAGGACCAAUCAAUGCAGUUGUGUUUUUUGAUAUUCAAGUGAGUCAGGAGUCAAAAUAUUAGAUGAGUAACUUCAUUUAUCGGGAUAUGUAUGUGACAUAACAGUUAAUGUGUGGCUUAGAAAACACAUAUAUCACAGGAUAAUGAAGUGGAAAUAAUUGACAAAAUAAGCUGAUGCUUACAUUUAGGAUUCCUUAGAACCUCUCCAGUUGUGUUUAUCCAUAUUCAAAUGAGUCUGAAAUCAAAAUAUUAGGUGUGGUGUGACAUGUGGUCUGACAUCCAAGGAUUAUUUCAAUUCUCUUCAUCUAUAGUCCCAACUUUAGUUAACUGAAGGAUUUUUGUACAAUAAUACACCAUAAAAAGUUUGCAUAUAUCUGAAGAUUUUAAAGCUGAACAUGCCCUGUUAUGUGGAAACUACAACAUAAAAUUCCAUGAAACACAACUUCUUGCCUCGACAAGUGGAUAUCAUAACAGAAUGAUUAGGAUAGCAAUUGAGAUCCACAGAAAUAAUUUCAACAGAAAAGAAACUAUAAAAUUUUAUAAAAUUUGUACACCAGUUCUUAAAUACAUAAAAAUCUGCUAAGCUGAUAAGUUGUCAGUCAGCAACAAACAUAAACAUUCAGUAAAAAUAUGGUUUAUAUUGCUAUUUCUAAUAAUUACUUGUUUCGUAUACAUGUAAGUUACUAUUGUAACUUCUUGAGACUGGCUGUAAUUCAACAAACGAACAUUGUAUAUUUUAGAACGUUAUUCUGAUGUUUAAAUUUGUAUAAUAAUUUCCGCUAGGAUUGUUAUGAUUUCAACAUGUGUAUAUGUAAGUUUUAUUUUUUAAAUCAUAAAUCAUGAAAUUUGCAACUGAUAAUAUAAGGUUUAUAACCUGCUGCUCCACAAACAUUGGAGUAUGUUAUUAUUGGGUGCAAUGGUUUUUGCUUUUAGUUUAUUCAAACAGUUGCCAAAUGAAUUGAUCUUCCUAAACUGUUGAUGUUUACUUAA